rnacentral:lncRNA from 15 species
AUGUUUCCAUGUUAAGACAAUGUGAGUGAGUUCCCUCUCUGUGGUUGGUUGCAGACAGACACCCAGAUGAUGACUCCAGUAACAGACAGCAUCAAGAAGGAGGCUGGAGGAGCAGUUUUAGCUCAAAUGGAGGAAAGACUACAGCAGGAGCGUCUGGAGGCAGCCCGCAUCGCUGAGGAGAUGGCCAGAAAGGCAGCGGAAGAGGCAGUCCGACAGCUGGAGGUGGAGCAUUCAGCUAAGAUCGUCAUAGAAACACUGCCAGAGUCUAACGAGCAGUAAGUGACGAACACGUAUAGGACACAGAAACAGAAACACAUCCCAAACACUGUAUAUCCUGAGAUGAUACAUCCUCCAAUAACAGUCCUGUUUGUUCUCAACAGACUGCCCAACAUCCUGGAGGAGGAAAAUGAGGAUGAGCCAGAGUAAGUCCAUCUUCCUGUUGCUGUCUCAUAUACUGCUGUUAUGUUGAGUUAACUGCUUCUAGCUACUGCUACUGCAGAUUCUGCCUCAACUGAAAUGAUGGCUAGGUCAGAUUCAUCACUUGCAACACCUUUUAUGUUGGGUUACAUUUGGCACCCUUCUAUAUCUCUGUAGUGGAUAAAAAAGGGAUGAAACUAAUCUCUAUAUUCUUGUUUGACUGUGAGAUAUGAGGUAUUAGGAGGGUUUGUUGUCGGAGUAUUGCUUUAUUGUAGUCUCUUAGAGAGCAGGUUUCCUAUAGUAUUGCAGCGAUGCAAGUUACCUAGAAGUGGGCAACUUCCAUGGUCUUUCAUUUUCCAUAAUAUUUUGUAAAAUGUUAAGUGUUUGACAUAAAGUCUCAUCUGGCAGGAAUGUCUGAUCCUGAUUUGGAUGGCCUCUUGUCAUCCCUAUAACUGAAGUUCAAAUGUAGUUCCCAAUCACUUUCAAAUGUCACUGAAAUACAAACUAAGUGACUGAUUAUUUAACAAAAAACAUGCAUCUCAAUAUGGGAAUUGUGUUUUUCUAUAACAUUGACUGUACUUUAUUAUGCCCUUUCUAGGCUUUGAGCACCCUCUGCUGGCAAAGUUAGUAUUAAACCGCCAUAUCCUAUUUUUAUUUUACAAAAACCUGAAGCUCUGCUGCUCUCUGCUUGACUUGGAUGCUGCUCAAUGUAGCAACUACUUGCUCUCUGACACAAUGAGCUGAACUGUCUGACAGGGGCUUUCUAUCUUGUUUGUCCCUUGCUGCACACCGUUCAGGUUGCAGGACCUGCCGGAGGACAGUGAAGACAGCACAGACAAUAGGAGUCCUGAGGAAAAUAAAGUGAAUAACAAAACUGUUGAAGAAGAGAAAAAACCAGACCAGUAAGCUCAGCCAUACAAAGGCUUGCACCUGCAAUUAGAUGGAGGAAUACUCCCAUAAUUCUUAUGAUUUGGAUCUAAUUUAUCUGUAGACCAUAUUACAUUAUGUUAGUGCAGUCAGUUUAACGCGUUAUUAACUGCGUUAAAGCAAACCCAUUUUAACGGCAUCAAUUUUUUAUCGCAAGAUUAACACCUAGCACACUUUUUUUCACAUGCUGUUGCAACAACUAGUAACGUUAGAAAAACUACAACACUACACCGGCUCUAGCUAGACUGGAAACAAAACAACAGGCACACCGCACACACUGUUUAAGAGUAGUAGACGUUACGUUUUGAGUGGAUGGGGAGCGCGAGACGCCAAAAUGGAUGGAUUCCUUGUUGUCUGAAAAUGUCAACAGGCUUGUCUGUUGCUCAAAGCAAAGAAGUAGUAGGCUUACCUUUUAUUGGUAACCGUUACUGUUCAUUCUUUCUGAAAUAAGAGGCUGGGUUGAGCCUCUGGUGAAUAAAUGUUCAAAGCAAACUUGAGAAAAGUAUUAAGCCAUCGUUUAACUGCACUAUAGGGCCCUAGUUUACCUUACAUGUGCACUUUCUAAUUUUAUUUUGUAUCGCCCUGUUUUGAUCCCUUAGAAAGGGCUGUUGAAGGGGCUGUUUGUGUGACAAAGUA